rnacentral:rRNA from 1 species
GACGAACGCUGGCGGCGUGCCUAAUACAUGCAAGUUGAGCGCUGAAGGUUGGUACUUGUACCAACUGGAUGAGCAGCGAACGGGUGAGUAACGCGUGGGGAAUCUGCCUUUGAGCGGGGGACAACAUUUGGAAACGAAUGCUAAUACCGCAUAAAAACUUUAAACACAAGUUUUAAGUUUGAAAGAUGCAAUUGCAUCACUCAAAGAUGAUCCCGCGUUGUAUUAGCUAGUUGGUGAGGUAAAGGCUCACCAAGGCGAUGAUACAUAGCCGACCUGAGAGGGUGAGCCGCCACAUUGGGACUGAGAAAACGCCCAAAACCCUAAGGGAGGCAGCAGUAGGGAAUCAUCGGAAAUGGACGAAAGGCUGAACGAGCAACGCCGGGGGAGUGGAGAAGGGUUUCGGAUCGUAAAAAUCUGUUAGUAGGGAAGAACGUUGGUGAGAGUGGAAAGCUCAUCAAGUGACGGUAACUACACAGAAAGGGACGGCUAACUACGUG